rnacentral:rRNA from 1 species
CCUACGGGCUGCAGCAGUGGGGAAUAUUGGACAAUGGGCGAAAGCCUGAUCCAGCCAUGCCGCGUGUGUGAAGAAGGCCUUCGGGUUGUAAAGCACUUUCAGUGGGGAAGAAAGCCUUGGGGCUAAUACCCUCGAGGAAGGACAUCACCCACAGAAGAAGCACCGGCUAACUCCGUGCCAGCAGCCGCGGUAAUACGGAGGGUGCGAGCGUUAAUCGGAAUUACUGGGCGUAAAGCGCGCGUAGGCGGUCUGAUAAGCCGGUUGUGAAAGCCCCGGGCUCAACCUGGGAACGGCAUCCGGAACUGUCAGGCUAGAGGGCAGGAGAGGAAGGUAGAAUUCCCGGUGUAGCGGUGAAAUGCGUAGAGAUCGGGAGGAAUACCAGUGGCGAAGGCGGCCUUCUGGACUGACACUGACGCUGAGGUGCGAAAGCGUGGGUAGCAAACAGGAUUAGAUACCCCAGUAGUC